rnacentral:tRNA from 1 species
AUGACUGAAAGUAAGUGUAGGUCUUUUAAACCUAUUAUAGCACCACCGCCUGCUUCUAAUGAGCCUCCCAGUUACUUCCUUAC